rnacentral:rRNA from 1 species
CAUCACUACGCUAGAUGCAUAUCAAUAAGCGGAGGAAAAGAAACUAACAAGGAUUCCCUUAGUAACGGCGAGUGAAGCGGGAAGAGCUCAAAUUUGAAAUCUUCAAGGUUCUACCUUGACGAAUUGUAGUUUGUAGAAGUGUUUUCUGUUAGUAGAGUGGCAAAAGUUCUUUGGAAUAGGACAUCAUAGAGGGUGAGAAUCCCGUAUUUGGUCAUUCUUUCUAGCUUUGUGAUACACUUUCAACGAGUCGGAUUGUUUGGGAAUGCAGUCCAAAAUGGGUGGUAAAUCUCAUCUAAAGCUAAAUAUUGGCGAGAGACCGAUAGCGAACAAGUACCGUGAGGGAAGGAUGAAAAGAACUUUGAAAAGAGAGUUAAACAGUACGUGAAAUUGUCAAAAGGGAAGCGUUUGACACCAGUGUUGUUUUUCCGAAAAUCAAUUACGAAUGUUUUGUUUUUGAGAAGUUAUGACUUCAUCGGCUUGCUUCUCUCUUUACGAAACUUUCUUAAUGCACUUUUCGGUUAACAAGUCAACAUCAAUUUCUUUUGUUGUAAAAGGGUAUGAGGAAGGUGGCUUUCUUUUCGGAGAAAGUGUUUAUAGCCUUGUACCUCUGCAAUCGGAGAGAUUGAGGUCUGCAGCGUAGAUCCUUCGGGGUUAGAUACAUUUGUGCUAAGUUAUAGCUUUUCAUAGACAACUUGUUGACUAUGUUAAGUCUUGUAGCUUACUCGCUUAUGCUAUUUUACCUACGCUUAGGAUGUUGACACACGCGCGUGCUCGGCUUUAUACAUGACUCUGCGCAUAUCAAUAAGCGGAGGAAAAGUAAAUGCUGUAUACCUACGCUUAGGAUGUUGAUAGUCACAGCGUGUAC